GACUCGCUCCGGCUCCCCUCGCCGUCCUGGACACGGCGGAGUGCGGAGCCGCCCGUAAGAUGCUCUGACCUUUGACCCCUGCCGUUCAGCUCUAGGGCCCGUGCAGGCCACACCAUGAACACCUCCCCAGGCACGGUGGGCAGUGACCCGGUCAUCCUGGCCACUGCAGGCUACGACCACACCGUGCGCUUCUGGCAGGCCCACAGCGGCAUCUGCACCCGGACGGUGCAGCACCAGGACUCCCAGGUGAAUGCCUUGGAGGUCACACCGGACCGCAGCAUGAUUGCUGCUGCAGGUUACCAGCACAUCCGCAUGUAUGAUCUCAACUCCAAUAACCCUAACCCCAUCAUCAGCUACGACGGCGUCAACAAGAACAUCGCGUCUGUGGGCUUCCACGAAGACGGCCGCUGGAUGUACACGGGCGGCGAGGACUGCACAGCCAGGAUCUGGGACCUCAGGUCCCGGAACCUGCAGUGCCAGCGGAUCUUCCAGGUGAACGCACCCAUUAACUGCGUGUGCCUGCACCCCAACCAGGCAGAGCUCAUCGUGGGUGACCAGAGCGGGGCUAUCCACAUCUGGGACUUGAAAACAGACCACAACGAGCAGCUGAUCCCUGAGCCCGAGGUCUCCAUCACGUCCGCCCACAUCGAUCCCGACGCCAGCUACAUGGCAGCUGUCAAUAGCACCGUGAGUCCUGGUGGCAGGUGCUGGGUGCGGGCAGCUUGGCACUCAGCCCUCAGCCUCUGCAGGUGGGCUUAUUCCUGGAUGUCCCUUAGCGGCCCCCUCCUGCUUUCCCCAUCCCGGGCACUAACACCCACCUUGCCAGCAAAGCCAGAAGCCUUAGUGUCGCUCCCGAUGGCUUAGUCCUGUCUGCAGGUCGGUCACUCCGCUUUCUGGAGUCUCUCCCAAGUCGAUCCACUUCCCUCUUUUCACUCUGUUGCCUCCUGGUCCCAGUCACCCUUGUUUCUGGUGACGGCUGACACACUCUCUGAGGCUUCCUUUCCCCCUCCCUGACCUCCCCUGGCCCCUGACACGUUCUCUCUUGGAUGCUUCUAGUGGUGCCUGGUCAGUAUCAGCCAGGUGGCGUCAUUCCCCUGAGGAGACCCGGGGCUGCUGGCCUCGCCCGUAGGCUGCUGUGGCGUGGCCCCUGCUCUUCUCUCCAGCCUCAUUUUUUUUCAUUAACUUCAUUUAAUCCCAGUGCAUCACUUGUACCUCUUGCCCCCGGAUUUCCCUUCUGCUGGCCUUUGUCAUGCUGUCUCUCUAGCUGGUGCCCUUCUCCUGUCUACUUCCGUUGGCCAUCGGCAUCCUCCAGGAAGGAGAAUUUGAGUCCUUGGCCAGGCGUGGCCUCCUGUUCUUGGCUUGCCAGGGAAACUGCUAUGUCUGGAAUCUGACGGGGGGCAUUGGUGACGAGGUGACCCAGCUCAUCCCCAAGACUAAGAUCCCUGCCCACACGCGCUACGCCCUGCAGUGUCGCUUCAGCCCCGACUCCACGCUCCUCGCCACCUGCUCGGCUGAUCAGACGUGCAAGAUCUGGAGGACGUCCAACUUCUCCCUGAUGACGGAGCUGAGCAUCAAGAGCGGCAACCCCGGGGAGUCCUCCCGCGGCUGGAUGUGGGGCUGCGCCUUCUCGGGGGACUCCCAGUACAUCGUCACUGCUUCCUCGGACAACCUGGCCCGGCUCUGGUGUGUGGAGACUGGAGAGAUCAAGAGAGAGUAUGGCGGCCACCAGAAGGCUGUUGUCUGCCUGGCCUUCAAUGACAGUGUGCUGGGCUAGCCUGUGACCCCUCGGGACUGCCUGGUGCAGGUGGUGGCAGCUGGAGGGACCCAUGCAGCACCCAGGUCAGAGCAGACCCUCCCCUGCCGGCCUGCGCCAGCUGGACCUGAUGGCCCCCUGUGGCGCCUUGACCUGCUGGGCCAGGCUGCCCUGGGACUCUCAGCCCCCAGUUGCUUAUCCAGAUGUGACAGAGCUCGACCCAAGCCAGGCUGCACACUCCUGGACUGGGCUAGCCUGCACUGCCUGGGAAAGUCGGCCGAGGGCCCAAAGCUGCUGAGGGGUCUGAGGCUGGUGCCCACCCCCAAGCUAGUGUGUUCUCUGCCCCUCCCUGCCCGCGUUUCAGGGCCUCGGUCCAUAGAGAACACCACCACCAUGGCCAGGUGGAAGGGUUUAUUAGUCCCUGCCAGCAGCUGUCCUCCCUGGUGCAGGUGGCCUGGCCAGCCCACUGGAUUGGGGACGGGCCAGGCUGGGCCAGGUCGGGGGCUCAGUCUGGGAGGUAAUAAAAGCAGACCGACACGCAGAUGUUGCUCGGGAAGCAGAUGUCGAUGCAGAGAUAAAUCAGCCGCUGUCUCCGGG